AAAUUUAUAUGUUCUAAUGAUGGGCCCUUCUCUGUGGGCCUCUCGUAGUGUACUCAUGCAGGAGUAAAUUGCAGGCUUGAACCAUUGCCCAGCCUCCUUACCUGUGGGUUUUGAGCACUGAAGGGGGUUGUACAGUG